rnacentral:rRNA from 1 species
GUCCACGCCGUAAACGUUGGGCGCUAGGUGUGGGGGUCCUUCCACGACCUCCGUGCCGCAGCUAACGCAUUAAGCGCCCCGCCUGGGGAGUACGGCCGCAAGGCUAAAACUCAAAGGAAUUGACGGGGGCCCGCACAAGCGGCGGAGCAUGCGGAUUAAUUCGAUGCAACGCGAAGAACCUUACCAAGGCUUGACAUGCACAGGAAAGUUCCAGAGAUGGUUCCCCCGCAAGGUCUGUGCACAGGUGGUGCAUGGUU